AUGACGAGUGAGGACACCGACACCAACUUGGGGGCGGUUGAAGAAACCGUCCCCCCGGCGGAGCACGACUAUGCCCACGCCGCGGCCAGUAACUCCACCGAGGCGACGUCCCCCUCCGUCACCCCGGCUACCGACGGCGGAGUCACCCCGCGGGAAAGCUCACCGGCGGCGGCUGAAUCCGCUCACGUCGCGCCCGAGCAGCCCGCGCUCCCGGCGGAGCUCUCCGAACCGGCCGUGGGCGCGGAGGUGGACUUCCCCGGCGGAGGAAACGACGUGGGGCCGCCCGUGGACACCCGCAAGACCCCCGCAAGACGCGCCGGCCCCCGGCGUCACAGGCAGCCGGAGGACAGCGCCUGCUCCGCCUGCAAGGGCGCGUUCGAGCGGCAGGGCCGCAGCUUCAACCGCAGGGCGGUGUUCACCUUCACCAACCCGCAGACGGUGCAGUGGGUCUUCCCGGACAGCGCGGCGCAGGACAAGUCCUUUCUGUGCGAGACCUGCGCCCAGGUCAUCAGGAGCAAGUGCAAACGCAAACAGAGCGGGAAGCGGUCUCUGUGGCUGAAACCGGCGAAACAGUCGGAGGGGAAAGACAAGAAGAAGAAGACGAAAGCCAUCCGGAUGGGAAAGAAGAGCAAAGCAGCGAUGCUGGUCAGCAAGUCCUGCUACAAGGCCGCUUUCAAAAUGCUGUGGUCCGCUAAAGGCGCCCGGAAGCCCAUGAUGGAGUUCUGGAGCAAACAGUUGAAAGAGGAGAUGAAGGCGUUGACCCGAGAGGCGGACAGUCCCUUCCACCAGAAGGUGUCGAGCAUGAACCCGCUGUCGUCCUUCCCCUGGCGGCGCUGCCUGAGCUGGGCCCAGGACAAAGCUCCCCUCGUGACCGCCUGCCUCACCUCGCUGUUCCCCGACAUGAACGCGCUUUUCAAGAGCAGCCACCAGAUGUCGGAGGAGAUGGCCGAGACGCUUCUGACGCGGCGGUCCGUGUUGGCGCUCUCCCUCCCGCUCUUCACCAGGAACAUCUGGAAGAACAACUUCCUGCAGGCCGCUCUGGGGGCAGAGCUCCGCCUGCAGGGCUGCUCCGGCUCCGCCCUGGACAUCCUCAACACCAUGGGGCUGUGUCAGAACAGAGACACCGUCAGGUUGCUGCUGCACAAGCUCCGAAACAACAAGAACCCCCAAACACUGAACGGACAAAAGAUGGUGAUUAGAUUCGAGCAGAUUAAAGACGAACAGAUGAUUGGUGUGAAUGAAGGCAAUAUCGAGGAGGAAGAAGAAGAAGAGGAGGAGGAGGAAGAAGAACAGGAGGGGGAAGGAGAAGAAGAAGAAGAGGAGGGGGAGGAGGCAGAAGACGAGGAUGAUAUGCAGGAGGUGGAAGAGGAAGAAGUGCAGGACGGAAUGCAGGAGGAGGCAGAGGAGGUUCAAGCAGUGGAGGAAAAGUCAGAGAUGGAGAAGAGGGGGAAGAAGAGGAAGGAGAGAGGGAAACGGAAGGUGAAGGAGCGAGGGGAGGUGGAGGAGGUUGAACCAUGUGCGCAAAAGAAGAAGUGGUGGUGGUGAGGCUCGGCCUUCUCAGGAGGACCUCAGCAGUCGGUCGGUCCGACCUCUCGGCUCCGUAAGACCGCAUCGACCCAACGGGCCUCACGUCCUUUCUUCACUUUUUACUUUGCUUUCAAUUUAUAUUUUGUCAUUUAAAUUUAAAAAAAAGCUUCAGUUUGAGGCAGACGUGAGUUCAUUUGUUUCCAGAAAAGCCUCUGAAACACAAACUUGUGCCACUGAGACGACGCUCACAGCUGAUUGGUCGGCAUCGCUUUGACCCGGAUAGACGAGUGUCUCAUGUUGGUUGAAUCGCAAAAUCCGCAAACUUCCUCUUUUCUUCCACCUUCCGCAUAUGAUGGCAGCAGCUUCUGAAAUUAAUUAUUAUUUGAAUGAUUUACUAGAGAAGAACUGAUGUUUAGUCUUCCGCUCCUGGAGAAGUUUCUGGCAGAACUACGCAUGAGAAACUAAAAUUAAUCCCACGUUUUCCGCAAGUAUAUAAAAAAAAAGAGUGAACAUGAACAAUUUCAUUCAAGAUAAAGACGUAAUUCUGGCCAGAUUGUCAGUGAUGAUUUGAUCCUACCACAAAUACGACGCCUUUAGGGGGAAGUGUUCAUCAAAGUACGAGGGGGGGAAAAAAGCCAAAUAUUUGUCUCCAGGAAAGUUGAACGAUCCCAAACAGACGUCUCCAGGUUCAUGGGGCGCGGCGUCGUUACUACCAGAUUACAACGUUCUUUCCAUUAUUAAAAUAGAAGUGCUUCACAAUCCUGUUAUUUGGUCUUCACUAAAUAAUUCCAUUUAUUGUAAAACUGUGGAUACUUUUCUUGUUAGAUAUUAAACCAGGAGACACUGUAAUAAAGUUCUUUAAUCUUAAAGUUUCUGCAGUAAAUGUUUUUUAAAUGUUUUUGGUUGAGGACAGACGAGUCCGAUGCAGAUUGUUCUGUAAAAGUUAAUAAAAAACGUUUACGGCUUUACCUGCCUCCUUUCUUUCAUGUUUGCUUUUAAAAUAAAUCCAGACUUUUAUUUACUACAAAAUCCAUGUAGUUCCAGUUCCUGAUCCUGGUAUUUGGAAAAAAAAGAUUUCAUUCAUGGCUUAAUUUUGUCUGGAAAAGUUAAAUAACCAGAGAACAGUACUAGAAUAAGAACCAAGCAGCGUGAAGCAGUGAAAGGUUUUUAUUUCUGUAACAGUAACGUACAACAACAAAAACAGCUGCUGCAGCUACAAUAAAUAUUCCCCCACCGCGAUGCACCUCCAGCCGCCUCGCUCCUCCUCAGAGACGAGGACUUCAUUCACCCAUUACAGUAUGUUUUGGUGGUUAGAAAUAUACAGGGGUUUAUUAACAACAAAACUGCUGGGAAUUAAAAACACAUUUUAAUCAUCCUGCAAGUCUAAAUUCAAGAACAUGCAGGAACAAACUCAGGAGUUUUGUUGUUACCAAACGUCUCCAGAAACAGAAAAAAAGCCUACAGAAUACGGUUUUACUUUUAUUUUGAAGGGGAGGGGAAGGUGCUAAAGCAGCCAGAGCGUCACACACAG
ensembl:lncRNA